CUGGCAGAAUUUUGAAUCCAGUUGGUACUUCCUGUCUGAUGAUACUAAAACCUGGAAGGAGAGCAGAGAGGACUGUCUGGAGAGAGGAGCAGACCUGGUGAUCGUAAACAGUGAUAAGGAACAGGAGUUUCUCUUCAACCUCAACAAGGGAGUCUGGAUUGGUCUGACUGACUCUGUUACUGAGGGGAACUUGAUAUGGGUGGAUGGCACCCCACUGACCACCCCAAGGUACUGGCAUAAACCACAGCCUGAUAAUGGUGCUGGCAGACUAGACUAUGGUGAGGAGGACUGUGUUGAGAUACGUACAG